GGGAGAAAGACAAAACAACACCAACAAAAAAAUAAGUCCAUAAAUAGUUAGUCAAAAUUCAUCCAAGCAAACACCAAGAUUUUGGGCACAACAAAUACAGAAAAGAAGGGAAAAAUAUUGCAAGUCUGGACCCAAGAUAUUAUUACCAAAGCCACGUGCACCAUUUUUUAUUUCUAAAUCAAAUUCAACUAAAAGGAAAAAGAAAGAGCAUGUGAGAGUAUAAAUGUGAACGACAUGGUAAAAGAGAAAUGGUCAUGGAGAAGUGGGUGCUUGGCGUGAAGGAGAUGUAAUGCAACAACAACCAAGAUUAUUAUUAUUAUUAUUAUUAUUAUCUACAAAUUUGUAAAAAAUUAAAAAUAACAGUGCAAUAAUAAUGAAAUUAAUUAAAGUUUGAAUCUUUCUUACCUUUAGAGUAUACUAAAAUUUUUGGGAGAAGUGGGGCUGUGUUGGUGACACUAUUCAUUUAUUAGCAUUAUGUUAUUUUGUUGGGUUUGGAGACAGAAGGCAGAGGAAGAUGAUGCAUUUGUUAAUUUUAUGAAGAAAAAUCAGAAGAAAGAAGGACCCAUUUGGUAAGCUGCCAAACCAGAC
rnacentral:lncRNA from 1 species